UACGGAAGGCAGCAGUGGGGAAUAUUGCACAAUGGGCGCAAGCCUGAUGCAGCCAUGCCGCGUGUAUGAAGAAGGCCUUCGGGUUGUAAAGUACUUUCAGUCGUGAGGAAGGUGUUAAGGUUAAUAACCUUAGCAAUUGACGUUAGCGACAGAAGAAGCACCGGCUAACUCCGUGCCAGCAGCCGCGGUAAUACGGAGGGUGCGAGCGUUAAUCGGAAUUACUGGGCGUAAAGGGCACGCAGGCGGUUAAUUAAGUUGGAUGUGAAAUCCCCGGGCUUAACCUGGGAAUGGCAUUCAAGACUGGUUAGCUAGAGUCUUGUAGAGGGGGUAGAAUUCCAUGUGUAGCGGUGAGAUGCGUAGAGAUGUGGAGGAAUACCGGUGGCGAAGGCGGCCCCUGGGACAAAGACUGACGCUCAUGUGCGAAAGCGUGGGGAGCAAACAGGAUUAGAUACC
rnacentral:rRNA from 1 species